UCUGUCCCUGCAGGUGUUACAGGUGUGGUUGCUGUGUCACAUGUGAUUUGUAAGUGGCAGAGAGGAGAGAGGUUAUGUCUACAGUCAGUGUUCUGACCUAUAAACAGCUGAAUGAUUAGUAACCUAGCAAU
ensembl:snoRNA LOC120096805 small nucleolar RNA SNORA17